rnacentral:tRNA from 7 species
CUCCGCUUGGUGUAGUUGGUUUAUCACGUUCGACUGUAAAUCGAAAGGUCCCUAGUUCGAUUCUGGGAGCGGAGA